rnacentral:rRNA from 1 species
GAAACGACUGCUAAGACUGGAUAGGAAAUUAAAAGGCAUCUUUUAAUUUUUAAAAGACCUUUUUCGGAAGGUAUGCUUAAAGAGGGGCUUGCGCCACAUUAGUUAGUUGGUAAGGUAAAGGCUUACCAAGACGAUGAUGUGUAGCUGGACUGAGAGGUUGAACAGCCACAUUGGGACUGAGACACGGCCCAAACUCCUACGGGAGGCAGCAGUAAGGAAUUUUUGGCAAUGGAGGAAACUCUGACCGAGCGACGCCGCGUGAACAAUGAAGUACUUCGGUAUGUAAAGUUCUUUUAUUGAAAAAGAAAAAAUAGUGGAAAAACUAUCUUGACAUUAUUCAAUGAAUAAGCCCCGGCUAAUUAUGUGCCAGCAGCCGCGGUAAUACAUAAGGGGCGAGCGUUAUCCGGAAUUAUUGGGCGUAAAGGGUGCGUAGGCGGUUUGAUAAGUCUAUAGUUUAAUUGCAGUGCUUAACGCUGUACCGCUAUAGAAACUGUCUGACUAGAGUUAGAUAGAGGCAAGCGGAAUUCCAUGUGUAGCGGUAAAAUGCGUAAAUAUAUGGAGGAACACCAGAGGCGUAGGCGGCUUGCUGGGUCUUAACUGACGCUGAGGCACGAAAGCGUGGGGAGCAAACAGGAUUAGAUACCCUGGUAGUCCACGCCGUAAACGAUGAGUACUAAGUGUCGGGUUUUGGCUCGGUACUGAAGUUAACACAUUAAGUACUCCGCCUGAGUAGUACGUACGCAAGUAUGAAACUUAAAGGAAUUGACGGGACCCCGCACAAGCGGUGGAUCAUGUUGUUUAAUUCGAAGAUACACGAAAAACCUUACCAGGUCUUGACAUAAUUUUGCGACAUUAUAGAAAUAUAAUGAAGGUUAUCAGAAUUACAGGUGGUGCAUGGUUGUCGUCAGCUCGUGUCGUGAGAUGUUAGGUUAAGUCCUAAAACGAGCGCAACCCUUGUCGUUAGUUGCGACCACAUAAUGGUGAGCACUUUAGCGAGACUGCCAAUGAAAAAUUGGAGGAAGGUGAGGAUUACGUCAAAUCAUCAUGCCCCUUAUGAUCUGGGCUACAAACGUGAUACAAUGGCUUUUACAAAGAGUAGCUACAACGUGAGUUUUUAGCCAAUCUCAAAAAAACAGUCUCAGUUCGGAUUGAAGUCUGCAACUCGACUUCAUGAAGUUGGAAUCGCUAGUAAUCGCGAAUCAGCAUGUCGCGGUGAAUACGUUCUCGGGGUUUGUACACACCGCCCGUCA